rnacentral:lncRNA from 1 species
AAAAUAACACAUUUCACUUGUCAUGAACAUUCAAGAAUUUGUGUUCGCAACGGAAAAUAAUGAACACUCAUGCAUUUCAUCAAAUGAUCCAUGUCCCAUACCAUGAUCAUCUCUCAAUAAUCUCUUCAAAAUAAACGGAAACCAUAAUCAGAAUAUUUGGCACUAUGGCCUCUCAACAACAAUUGCAAAUAAGCAUGUUCGC